rnacentral:rRNA from 1 species
UACGUAGGGUGCAAGCGUUAAUCGGAAUUACUGGGCGUAAAGCGUGCGCAGGCGGUUAUGCAAGACAGAGGUGAAAUCCCCGGGCUCAACCUGGGAACUGCCUUUGUGACUGCAUAGCUAGAGUACGGUAGAGGGGGAUGGAAUUCCGCGUGUAGCAGUGAAAUGCGUAGAUAUCUGGAGGAACACCGGUGGCGAAGGCGGCAUCCUGGACCGACAUUGACGCUGAGGCGCGAAAGCCAGGGGAGC